rnacentral:tRNA from 1 species
GCCACUGUAGCUCAGCAGGGAGAGCAGCUGAUUCGUAAUCAGCAGGUCGGGGGUUCAAAUCCCUCCAGUGGCU